GAUGAACGCUGGCGGCGUGCCUAAUACAUGCAAGUCGAGCGAACAGACGAGGAGCUUGCUCCUCUGACGUUAGCGGCGGACGGGUGAGUAACACGUGGAUAACCUACCUAUAAGACUGGGAUAACUUCGGGAAACCGGAGCUAAUACCGGAUAAUAUAUUGAACCGCAUGGUUCAAUAGUGAAAGACGGUUUUGCUGUCACUUAUAGAUGGAUCCGCGCCGCAUUAGCAAGUUGGUAAGGUAACGGCUUACCAAGGCGACGAUGCGUAGCCGACCUGAGGGGGUGAUCGGCCGCACGUGAGAGAGGACAGUGACCAACCCCCGAAGUGAGGCACGAGUGGGAAAUCUACCGGAGGGGGCAAAGGCCAGGAUGGGAAACGGCGCGGAAGUCUGAUAGAUCUAUGCAGCGUAAAACAUGAUUAUUUGAGGAUAGCAAAGGUUUAAUGAACGGGACGAUUUUGACGGUAACCGAAGAAAAAGCCCCGGCUAACUUCGUG
rnacentral:rRNA from 1 species